rnacentral:rRNA from 1 species
AACGCGAAGAACCUUACCCAGGCUUGACAUGCAGAGGACAUUUCCUAGAAAUAGGGAACGUCCCGCCAAGGGUCGUCUGCACAGGUGCUGCAUGGCUGUCGUCAGCUCGUGCCGUGAGGUGUUGGGUUAAGUCCCGCAACGAGCGCAACCCUUAUCAUUAGUUGCCAACACGUGAAGGUGGGAACUCUAAUGAGACUGCCCGGGUUAACCGGGAGGAAGGUGAGGAUGACGUCAAGUCCGCAUGGCCCUUAUGUCUGGGGCUACACACGUGCUACAAUGGACGGUACAGAAGGCAGCGAAACCGCGAGGUGAAGCAAAUCCCGAAAGCCGUCCUCAGUUCAGAUUGUAGUCUGCAACUCGACUACAUGAAGACGGAAUUGCUAGUAAUGGUGAGUCAGCAACAUCACCGUGAAUACGUUCCCGGGCCUUGUACACACCGACGCAC